rnacentral:tRNA from 1 species
GCCUGGCUGGCUCAGUUGGUAGAGUGUGUGACUCUUGGUCUCUGGGUUGUGAGUUUGAGCCUCAUGUUGGGUG